GGAGAGGUGGAUGAGUGGUUUAAGUCGCACGCUUGGAAAGCGUGUUCAGGGUAAUACCCUGACGGGGGUUCGAAUCCCCCCCUCUCCGCCA
rnacentral:tRNA from 1 species